rnacentral:rRNA from 1 species
GUGUAACGUUGGCAGUUAUGUAAUUGAAAAGUUUGUAGUGAUAAUUAGACAAAACAUUAUUAGAUUUAGUAGGGGUGACUGAAAUUUAAUAUUUUUGCAUGAAUAUAGUACUGUGAAGGAAAGUGAAGAACUAAAAAUUAGAAAUGAUUAAAAUUUAUACCUUUCGCAUCAUGGCUUAGCUAGAUUAUUUUCUGGAUAGAAGGCCUCGAAACCUGGUGAGCUAUUCUUGUUCCGUUUUAUAGAUCGUAAUGAUGAGUUGGUUGUGGCAAAAACCUCUCAAGAAUUAAGGAUAGAUAUGAAAUUUUAUUCGCAUUAGGUGAUAGCUAGUUCUUCUCAAAAGGUAUAUUAGUACUUUGAGUCAUAGGUCUGAUGUUAUAAAUGAGGUUUAUGAUGUUAUGAUGGCUUGACUAUGCUUUCAAGGAUAAGCUUGAAAGCAGUUUGUGGUGCAUUUAAUUUUCUUUUAGAUAUAAGCUUAGUAAUGGUUACUAUGAUGGAUUUUGUUAUAAUUCAUUUCUUUGUUGUUAAUAUAAUUUAUUUGCUUAAUGGUUAUAGAGAAGAAAUUUUAGUAAUUUUAUUGUAAAAUGUUUAUAUGUUAAGAUGAGUAUUAAUUUAUUUAUUGGUGAGAUUAGCAUGAUAAAAGUUAGUCUUGCGACAUAGUAUUUUGAGAUAAAAUCGUAGAAAGGAACUCGGCAAAGUGGUAUUCUGCCUGUUUAUCAAAAACAUGGCUUCGUGUUAUUAUAAAGAUGUGAAGUCGGACCUGCCCAGUGAGUUUUAAACGGCCGCGGUACUCUGACCGUGCAAAGGUAGCAUAAUCAUUUGCCUUAUAAUUGAAGGCUGGAAUGAAUGGUUUGACAAGAAUACACCUGUCUCUUUUAGAUUCUAUAGAAUUUUAUUUUUAGGUGAAAAAGCCUAGAUUGAAUUAAAAGACAAGAAGACCCUAUCGAGCUUUAGAGAAGUUAAUAGACUUAGUGUAAAUCAAUAUAAGUAAAAGAAAAACUAUUAAAUACUUUGGUUGGGGCAACCGAGGAGCAAGUAAAGCCUCCUCUCAGUGAUAAGUCUUACUUGUGUUGAUCCAAACUUUUUGAUCAAAGGAAUUAGUUACCGUAGGGAUAACAGCAUUAUCUUUUUCAAGAGCCCAUAUCGAAAAAAAGGUUUGUGACCUCGAUGUUGGACCAGAAUGUCCUAAAGAUGCAGAAGUCUUUAAGGGUUGGUCUGUUCGACCAUUAAAAUUCUACGUGAUCUGAGUUCAGACCGGCGUGAGCCAGGUCAGUUUCUAUCUUUAUAUUUUUUGGCUACGCUUAGUACGAAAGGACCAGUGUAGUGUAUAAGAUGCUUUAGUUAGAUUAAAUAUAAUUUAACUUUAA